UACGAAGGGAGCUAGCGUUGUUCGGAAUCACUGGGCGUAAAGCGCACGUAGGCGGAUGUGUCAGUCAGGGGUGAAAUCCCGGAGCUCAACUUCGGAACUGCCUUUGAUACAGCACAUCUGGAGUCCGGAAGAGGUGGGUGGAAUUCCUAGUGUAGAGGUGAAAUUCGUAGAUAUUAGGAAGAACACCAGUGGCGAAGGCGGCUCACUGGCCCGGUACUGACGCUGUGACGCGAAAGCGUGGGGAGCAAACAGG
rnacentral:rRNA from 1 species